UGUUUUGUUUCAUACUCUUCUUCUUGAUU
rnacentral:piRNA from 1 species